rnacentral:lncRNA from 1 species
GUCUUGGUUCGAAGUCCUCCGGAAAAGAUUUUUCUCCUUUAAGAGUAGCGUCGUCGUGGUAAACGGACACAUUAGGCCUCGGCUCAAAAUCCUCAGCAAAGGAUCUCUCUCCUUUAACGACACCGUCGGAUGUAGUAGUAGGCUGUGGGCCAAAAUCCUUGACAAAAUUAUCCUUUUCAUUGGACUCGGUUGUGUGGCAAUCGGCUUUCUCAUUGGAGACUGGUGACGACGUGGUUGCGCGAAUAAGGCCUUGUAUUGCUUCUGGCAUGGGCUGAUCUUUCAUGACAGCUCUCCAAUACUCUCCAGUGUCUUUUCUAGCACCGGUAACGUCAGCAAACUGCUAAAUCAGAGAAUUUAAAAAAAAUAUUAAAACAUUAUAUUAUAAGAUUUUGAUAGAUAAAAGGACAGUACUGCGUGCAUGUGUGUGCAUGUGCACCCUCUAUUCUAUUUGUCAUUGCAAAAAAAAAAGAAAAAACAAAAGCAUACCGAAAAGAGUGAGAAAAGAACGAAGAAAGCGAAGGAGGAUUUCAUGUUUUCUGUCCCAAAUUAAACAGAUCCUUGUAAAAUUGUUUGAUUGUAUGGAGGUCGCUUGCAUUCUUAUUAUAUAUAGGCAAAGAACAAGAAGAGAAAGGGAAAAUAUAAACAAGAAGGCUCGUGAUUAUGUAUGUUCACUAAUGAUUCACGUUUUUCUUUUGUUUUUGUUUUCAAGAAAAGCUUGCUAAAACUUGUCUAUAUAAGAAAGAGACACUCUCUGCCAUGGGAUCUGUAAGAAGAUCGUAGUGAAAGACGAUUGGUUACGAUAUGCCCCUCAGUUAUCUUCAAUUAUUAACAAUCUUUAUUUCCUUACACACAAUCCGAGGUAUAUUUUUAUGUCCCAAGCUUUACGCUUAUAUUCAUAUUUAAAAUACACAAAGUUUAGUCAUAUUUGCUUAUAUUAAUACUCAUUUGGCAUUUCAAAGAUUCUGAAAAUCCUAUCUUUUUAAUUUUAAAACAUCCUUGACGUUUACUUAAAUCAUUUACUUACUAUUCCUAUACCUUAAUUUCAACCACCUUUCAAUUGGAUGAUGCAAGCCACAUUCAUAUAUUAAUUUCAACACCAUUUAAAUCAAAACUUUCAAAUUAAUUCUCCUCCUCCCUUUAAUAUAAAUUUCAGCCAAGAUAGGGUUUUUUACUCGUUUGAAAUUUUCUUCAUUUACAUGCUCAUUACAUACUAAAUAAUUUCAAACUACAAUAAUUUCACACUUCUUCCCAAAAAAUAUUUUAAGAACCCUAGUUUAAAAAUUAAAGAAUUAUGCAUUAACUUCAUUUCUUUUCAUUUAAACUUGUUUAGACAAUAAAAUAAAAUUCAAAUACUAACUAGUCAAAUUUUUCCCUCCUUAACCUCUUUUCCUCUUUUGGACGUGACUUCCUCCUCUAGCUUCUCCUUUCUUUUACUUGAUUUUCCUAUUAGCUCUUUUCUUGAAUGCUUUGGAUGGUUUAAAAAACUCUUUAAUUCCUUUAUCUUGCUCCAAUUCUUGUUUCUUUCUCUAAUUUCUCUAAGCAUGGAAGCUCGCAAGGUUUUUCUCUCUUUUCCCCUUUUUCCCCCUUGUUCUGCCAGGAGUUAAACGAAGUUGCUGGAACUUUCCAGCUCACCCAUAUAUUUACAAAAAAUACCAUGAGUUAAAUGUUAUUUUUCUGUUCAACCGUAGUCAUCUUUGUAUGAACUUUAAAACUCUAUUUCCUUUAAAAUUUUAAUUUAAGAUAGAAAUAUAUGAUAAAAGAUUUAUCAUAAAAUUUAGUUUUAUCUGACGAUUUGAUUGAAAGUUAUAUUUGAAAGCACAAAAUAAUUAUCAAAUAAUUUUUCAUUAAAUUUCAAAAUUUUCUUAUGCCUUCCUUACAUAAACCAUAUUUUAUCUCACUAAGUUCUCAUGAACCUUUACUAUGCUUAAAACUAUUUAUUUUACUUUUUUUUUAAUCAUUUUAGCUCUUUUAUGAACUUGUUAUCAUUUUACGAUAAUAUUAUAAAUUAUUAUCAGAUUUACCUCAAUGCUCUUCCAUGUCAUUCUCAACUCUUUUUACUUAAUUUAAAUUAUUUUUUUUAUUAUUUUGUAAGUGCAUAUUUUUUUUUCAGGGAUGUGCAAGUCAAAUGUAGAUCUGUCGCAAUUAGAUGAUGAUAUAUUAUAUGCAGAUUAUAGAUAACCUAACAUAUAUAUUUAUAGAUAAAUGAGAUAGAUCUAGGCCUAGAAGGAGGUCUGGUCGCUCUAAGCAAAAAAUAAUAGCUUAAAAAAGCUGUAACUUUUAACCUGAUUGUUGGACCGAAUUUAAAUUUUUACAAGAUUUUUUAGAAGUUUUUUUUAUAAUAGCCCCUGCAACCCUAAAUUUUAGGGAACCAUCAGAUAUUUAAAUAUGAAAAAUCUCGCCUAAGAGCUCUAGUUUGGGCAAUUUUAUUAUUUUACUUAACUUUUCUAGAUUUCAUACAUUGCUUCAUAUGAUAGCGCAAUGUAUAGCAUGGGGGAUUGUUGGAGGUACUGAAAUUCGGCAGCAAAAGAGCAGCGUCGUUUCCCUUUCAAAGAAGGCGCGGUAGCAGGCGACUUGAAAAUGUUUCUUUUUGAAAUGGUUAAGAUCUUCUAUGUAUUGAGAGAUUUGAAACAUUAGCAAGGGUUUGAUAAGAAACACAUUAAAACGGUAACAUUCUCAUACACUUCUUAUAGCAAUAUUACAUGAUAUCAUAAUGACUGAAAAAAAUCUUACAUUGCUUAAUAAACACACGCUAGCUCCCCCUAGUUAAGAGAAACCUUUAUUUAAGUACGUCACACAAACCAUAGCAGGCUUAGCUAAAAUCACUUCUGCUCCAUCGUAAUUAAGAGACCUUGAGCACAUCAACAAGCAACUUUGUCUGGCUAAUUAGUUGCUAUAAGCAGUAGCACUCGGCCUUGGUUCAAAAUCAUCCGAAAACGAUUUUUUUCCUUUAAGCCCGACACCAUCAUCAUAAACUGAUAUGUUGGGUCUUGGUUCGAAGUCCUCCGGAAAAGAUUUUUCUCCUUUAAGAGCAGCGUCGUCGUGGUAAACGGACACAUUAGGUCUCGGUUCAAAAUCCUCAGCAAAGGAUCUCUCUCCUUUAACAACAGUACCAUCACUGUAAACGGACACGUUAGGUUUCGGGUCGAAAUCUUUCGAGAAGGACUUAUCUUUUGCUGGUUCUAUACCAUUGUCAUA